GUGCCAGCCGCCGCGGUAAGACGAACCGAGCGAACGUUGUUCGGAAUCACUGGGCUUAAAGGGCGCGUAGGCGGGCUGUCAAGUCUGGGGUGAAAUCCCGCGGCUCAACCGUGGAACUGCCUCAGAUACUGACGGCCUCGAGGGAGGUAGGGGCGAGCGGAACUAAUGGUGGAGCGGUGAAAUGCGUUGAUAUCAUUAGGAACUCCGGUGGCGAAGGCGGCUCGCUGGGCCUUUUCUGACGCUGAUGCGCGAAAGCUAGGGGAGCAAACGGGAUUAGAAACCCCAGUAGUCC
rnacentral:rRNA from 1 species